CAGUGAAGUUACCUGCUGGCAACAUCCAAUUAGUGUGAAACGAAAUGAAAUGUCAUAUUUCUGGAUCUUUCUUCUUAAUUCUCUCCACCAGUUGUCAUAUUCUCUCCUUUUCCUGAAAGCAUUUGUGCUCAUAUAUAAUAUAUAUCAACCCCUGCAUUCCAACCCAGCUACAAGUUCUGUCUUCCAAUCAAUUUUAUGAGUCUAUCUGGUUUGUGCAAGGGUUGUUUGUUCCUGCAGAGAUGAGUACUGAGAUCAAAUACGGCUAUCCAUAUCCAGCUCCAGGUCCUUAUCAGGGGCCACCGCCGGUAGCGGCACCUCCGCAGUACUAUGCCGCUCCACCACCACCAAAAAGACAACCAGGUUUCCUUGAGGGAUGCCUAGCAGCUUUGUGUUGCUGUUGCCUGGUGGAUGAAUGCUGCUGUGACCCCACCAUUAUUUUCGCUGGCUAGUGUAAUGCCUUCACCAAAAUAAUUGGGAGAAAACGCUAUUAUUGUAAUAAUGUUUUUAUUUAAAACCUUUUUAGUGAAUCCUAUCGGAUUAUUACCUGUGUAUGAGUAUGUAUUAUGAGUAAUCAAUGUAUAGUGAUUCAACUAAUGGUAUUGUCACAAUUGAAAAGAGAAUUCCCCUUUGUCA